rnacentral:rRNA from 1 species
GAUGAACGCUGGCGGCGUGCCUAAUACAUGCAAGUCGAGCGAACGGACGAGAAGCUUGCUUCUCUGAUGUUAGCGGCGGACGGGUGAGUAACACGUGGAUAACCUACCUAUAAGACUGGGAUAACUUCGGGAGACCGGAGCUAAUACCGGAUGAUAUUUUGAACCGCAUGGUUCAAAAGUGAAAGACGGUCUUGCUGUCACUUAGAGAUGGAUCCGCGCUGCAUUAGCUAGUUGGUAAGGUAACGGCUUACCAAGGCAACGAUGCAUAGCCGACCUGAGAGGGUGAUCGGCCACACUGGAACUGAGACACGGUCCAGACUCCUACGGGAGGCAGCAGUAGGGAAUCUUCCGCAAUGGGCGAAAGCCUGACGGAGCAACGCCGCGUGAGUGAUGAAGGUCUUCGGAUCGUAAAACUCUGUUAUUAGGGAAGAACAUAUGUGUAAGUAACUGUGCACAUCUUGACGGUACCUAAUCAGAAAGCCACGGCUAACUUCGUG